rnacentral:rRNA from 1 species
GAUGAACGCUGGCGGCAUGCCUAACACAUGCAAGUCGAUCGGUAAGGCUCUUCGGAGUACACGAGAGGCGGACGGCUGAGUAACGCGUAGGAACACACCCUGCAGUUAGGGAUAAGACACCGAAAGGUGUUCUAAUACCGCAUACGGUCUUCGGAUUAAAGCAUUUAUGCGCUGAAGGAGUGGCCUGCGUCAUAUUAGAUAGUUGGUGAGGUAAUGGCUCACCAAGUCGAUGAUGUGUAGCUGGUCUGAGAGGAUGAUCAGCCAGACUGGAACUGAGACACGGUCCAGACUCCUACGGGAGGCAGCAGUGAGGAAUAUUUCACAAUGAGCGAAAGCUUGAUGGAGCAAUGCCGCGUGCAGGAUGAAGGCCCUCGGGUUGUAAACUGCUUUUAUAAGAGAAGAUUAUGACGGUAACUUAUGAAUAAGGGACGGCUAACUACGUG